rnacentral:rRNA from 1 species
UGGGGAAUAUUGGACAAUGGGCGCAAGCCUGAUCCAGCCAUGCCGCGUGAGUGAUGAAGGCCCUAGGGUUGUAAAGCUCUUUUGUGCGGGAAGAUAAUGACGGUACCGCAAGAAUAAGCCCCGGCUAACUUCGUGCCAGCAGCCGCGGUAAUACGAAGGGGGCUAGCGUUGCUCGGAAUCACUGGGCGUAAAGGGUGCGUAGGCGGGUCUUUAAGUCAGGGGUGAAAUCCUGGAGCCCAACUCCAGAACUGCCUUUGAUACUGAAGAUCUUGAGUUCGGGAGAGGUGAGUGGAACUGCGAGUGUAGAGGUGAAAUUCGUAGAUAUUCGCAAGAACACCAGUGGCGAAGGCGGCUCACUGGCCCGAUACUGACGCUGAUGCACGAAAGCGUGGGGAGCAAACAGGAUUAGAUACCCUGGUAGUCCACGCCGUAAACGACGAAUGCCAGCCGUUAGUGGGUUUACUCACUAGUGGCGCAGCCAACGCUUUAAGCAUUCCGCCUGGGGAGUACGGUCGCAAGAUUA